UACGUAGGGAGCAAGCGUUGUCCGGAAUCAUUGGGCGUAAAGCGCGCGUAGGUGGCCUCAUAAGUCCGCUGUGAAAGUCAAAAGGCUCAACCUUUGAAAGCCGGUGGAUACUGUGGGGCUAGAGUACGGAAGAGGCGAGUGGAAUUCCUGGUGUAGCGGUGGAAUGCGCAGAUAUCAGGAGGAACACCAAUAGCGAAGGCAGCUCGCUGGGACGUACUGACACUGAGGCGCGAAAGCGUGGGGAGCGAACAGG
rnacentral:rRNA from 1 species